CUGCACCAAAGCUAUGAGAAGUGGGCUGACGCUUCAGAGACAAGUCCUUGCUGCUCGAAAAGCUCCAGAGGCGAGUGAACAGAAGCCUGGGAACCGGAUCAGGAGCUAUAAGCUGGAUUUUUUAUUGACCAAUACACAAGUUCCUUGGCACCCUCCUCUCCAAUGAUGCAAGCCUCGUGAAGGAGUCACAUACACAACCGGAAGAGAUCGUAGUUGGAGACUAAAAUGAAAUAUCAGAUAUUUUUACCAGUAUGACAGCCUGAAGCUAGAGGGCAGCGUCGUUUCACUUUCUUUUGAAGAACCCGACCCAGCUGCCAAUUCGCGACUCCAGCGAAGCCGUAGCCGUCUGGCGGCGAUUUUGAAAAGCUGCGAGUGCAGAUUCGAGAUCGCGUCGGGACAGGGAAGCAGUACAGCGAUAUACGGUUCUCUUGCUUACGGACAGAAUGCCGGCAACAAAGAAUGUACGAAAUCGAAAACAGGAAUGUUGCCCUACUAAUUUCUUCUCAGCAUGUUGGAAAUACGCCACGCUUUAUUUUCAUCAUUUCCUAAUCAAGAAGAAUGGAACGAAAUUCUCAUACUGUAUGUGACUCUUCUCAUACUGUAUGACCCACUUUCGUGAUCGACUGUGUCGCCGCGGUUUCAUCAUAAUAUUAAUCUUCGGAAUACACAACAAGGAACCGGCAUUUUUUUUUGUCUUGCUGACAUGUAUGCAUUUUCAAACCUCAUGCAAAGUAAACAAUAUCACCGUACUAAUGCGGCGUAGACGAGCAUCCACUAAGGGUGUUCCCGCGAGAGAAACACCUUCUGUCUGGUGUCGCACACGUAUCAACGAAUGACUCACAAGGAUAAAAGUGUCAAACAAGUUGUACGUGAAUACCAAGAGCAGUGCAGAAAAAGAGUACUUCCCUGUGCCAGAGCAUGUCUGCAGCGCUCAGAUUUUCGCCGCGUAGCAUAUGGAAUGUCAACUAAUUGCAUAUCUAUGGUGCUAGGUGAAGACAAAGUGUCAGAUAUACGCGUGUGUGCCACGGUUUUCAAAAUAUGUAUCGUUUACGUAUCCCUCUGACAUGCAGUCACAGAGUUCCGCAAACGUCACGUCAUAUGAGCAUGUUUUGUCAUCACCAAACGAAACAAAGACGUGUUCGCUUGAGUUCUUGCAAAUACCCACGUGUACGUUAACUUGUUCAUCACAAUAACUUGUCCAUCAAAGUUCGGAAAAAAACUAAUUCCGAGGGACACUACACUUCAAACGGAGUUGUUCAUUCGCAGCAUUCACAUACUACGGGACUAUCGGAGGAGUAACUAAAAAAUUACAUUACCUUGCAGACUACUAAUCCACAUUCCAAAACACAUGCUAAGACACUCUUCUUAAGUAACUUAUCCCUCUUUGCCUUCUUAGUUUCAUUGCUAGUGUUUUUCUUGUCCCUGAACGUCCGUGGUUCAAUCCUGACGACGUUAAAGCAGGCACAACCUGCAUUGCAUAACGCUGAGAUAUAUCAAUAUUUGUUGGGAGUGAGAUGAAAGGAUCGUGAUUUCACACGUGGCAUUAUUUACUGUAGUUCUAACCAACUUCUUGCCUUACAGCAGUAACACGCUGAGGAAGAAAGGUCCACCUUAGUCUUAACAGAAGGAGCGCAAGUGCGCAGUGUGCAGGAUGACGUAGGUAGGAAGAGGAAGACCACAACAAUAGUUGAGAUUUUAAAAAUGGUGCUAAAUGAGAACGAGAGGCUUCGUGAAAGCCUUCUCGAGGUGCGUAACAAGGAAUACUGGAGCUACGCAAAAGACAAGUGCAGCUUAUGGAGCAAAGCAAUAGCAUGCAGGUGCUUCUAGCGCAUGUCAGAAAAUUGAAACUGUGCAGAGAUUUUCAAACACCUUAUGUAUUUAUUAAUAAAAAGUAAGGAAACCAA